rnacentral:lncRNA from 1 species
CCUAAACGCCUGAAAAAACACCUUCCCCAAAUCCUGAAACUCCUGAAACCAGAUGACCGGAUUCUGAUUGUGGGGACCACACGGCGUCCCUUCGAUGCUGAACUCCAAUCUUUCUGCAAAGUUUACCAGAAAAUUAUUUUGGUGCCCAGACCAGACUAUGCUUCCAGAUACGGGCCUCAAAACGUCCCCCAUGAACCCUUUGCACCUGGCCAGCAUCCAAAGAAGCGAGGGAAGACAGGAUGGAGGAGUCACAGAAGAUCUUAAGGACUAGUCCCAGAAGAAGCCAACAUUUCCUCCAGCCAGAUCAUGUUGGCCAGAAUGAGAAACAUGGAUGAAGGGGGCAGCGCUGUCCAGCCGAGAAAGGAGACAGCGCGAGACGGGCAGGCACCACAGUCUCGCCGCAGCCCACACAGCCAAUGCCGGGGGUUCCACGCCCCUGGCCUUAGCAGGACUACCCCUCUCUCCUCUCAUGCAUUCUUCUUUUUUUCUUCCUUUUUU